AGUGAACGCUGGCGGUAGGCCUAACACAUGCAAGUCGAACGGCAGCACAGUAAGAGCUUGCUCUUACGGGUGGCGAGUGGCGGACGGGUGAGGCAUACAUCGGAAUCUACUUUUUCGUGGGGGAUAACGUAGGGAAACUUACGCUAAUACCGCAUACGACCUACGGGUGAAAGCAGGGGAUCUUCGGACCUUUCGCGAUUGAAUGAGCCGAUGUCGGAUUAGCUAGUUGGCGGGGUAAAGGCCCACCAAGGCGACGAUCCGUAGCUGGUCUGAGAGGAUGAUCAGCCACACUGGAACUGAGACACGGUCCAGACUCCUACGGGAGGCAGCAGUGGGGAAUAUUGGACAAUGGGCGCAAGCCUGAUCCAGCCAUACCGCGUGGGUGAAGAAGGCCUUCGGGUUGUAAAGCCCUUUUGUUGGGAAAGAAAAGCAGCAGGUUAAUACCCCGAUGUUCUGACGGUACCCAAAGAAUAAGCACCGGCUAACUUCGUG
rnacentral:rRNA from 1 species